AUGGAUACAAGUGAUCAAACUUUAACUUUUGAUGCAUUUUUGACCUGGAAAACGGAGGCUUUACGUGAAUAUCUUGGAAAACGCGGACUUGCGAAGGACAAAGCCAAGCAAGAACUUGCGGCUUUAUGUUAUUCAGCACAUGUAAUGAAAAUUCCAGAAAUACCAUCGGCAGCGGAAAAUGUUAAGGUCAGACAGUUCGAUUAUCAAAAUUUACUGAAUGUUAACGGGACCACUAUACCAGAUCCAUUUACUCUUCACAAGAACUGGGCAGAUGAACGUGAUGGGAUGAAAAGCUGGCCACCCGUUUAUCUGAGUGACAUUAUUGAAUAUGCCGGUGUUUGUGACACCAACUUUAACAUAACCAAGUUCCUCCAACAAUAUAAAUUAGGUAAAGGACAGUCAUUUGUUGAUGCGGGCCACACUGGGGAGAUAUUUCAUCACCAGAUCUCCAAGGAAUCAACCGUGUGCCUGGUUCGUUCAGAUUGCAUCCCUUCACAGCACAUUAAAGACGAUCCCCAUAAGAUAUGGAUAUGCGUUGAGAAAGAGACAGGGACCAUCAGGUCAUCAUAUUGUACAUGCACAGCAGGGUUAGGAUCCCCCUGUGUCCAUGUUGUUUCUGUUCUUUUCCGCAUUGAGACAGCUCAUCGCUUAGGAGUCUCAGCAUGCACUUCUUUACCCUGCUCUUGGACUGUGCCCGCUUUCAAGUCCACCAGAGCGCCACCUUCAAAACUAAAAGAACUUGAAGUGUCAAAGCCAGUUCAUUCAUUGACUUGUGGUAUAGAUAUACCAAAAGAAGAAGUGAAAAUCAGAACAGAAGAGCCCGUCAACAUACAGAAGUAUAUGCUAGAGAAAAUGGUCAUGGAUGGACUAGAAGGCCCAAGUAUAGCUCACAAUCUGAGGCAGGAAACUGUUGAGGCACUUAACAAAGCUACUAUGGGUCAGCAUGCAAACAGUACAUGGCAUAAUUUAAGGAAAGUUUCACUCCAACAGAGAAUAGUACAGAAUGAGGAGGAAAAGUUGGAAGUCAUGAGAGGGCAUUUGGAUGUUGAGAAGCGCAAGCUGGAGCUCCUUGAGCAGUAUGUCCAUUGGAGUAUGGAGUCAAGGGCAGACAGUACACCAUCAGUGUCACCAGUCAUAAGAGGAUUUUUUACAUCUUCAUUUUAA
rnacentral:misc_RNA from 1 species